rnacentral:rRNA from 1 species
GAUGAACGCUAGCGGCGUGCUUAACACAUGCAAGUCGAGCGGGCAAUUUAUCUAGCACUGAUUACUUCAAAUGGAAAUCAUAAGUGUAAUCAUGAAUUUCUACCUUUAAUAAAGAAAAAGAAAUUCAUGUACGCAAAUAGUGAUAACACAUUUUAGUGGAGUGAUGAGUGCUGGAUAAAUUGCUAGCGGCGGACGGGUGCGUAACACGUGGGUAACCUGCCCCUAUCACUGGGAUAACACACUGAAAAGUGUGCUAAUACCAGAUAAUAUAAGCUUUUGGCAUCAUUAGCUUAUCAAAGAAUUUCGGAUAGGGAUGGGCCCGCGUCUGAUUAGCUAGUUGGUGAGGUAACGGCUCACCAAGGCAACGAUCAGUAGCCGACCUGAGAGGGUGAUCGGCCACACUGGAACUGAGACACGGUCCAGACUCCUACGGGAGGCAGCAGUGGGGAAUAUUGCACAAUGGGCGAAAG